AUGAGACGGACAGACAGGCAGCUCCCAGGGAAAAGGAAGCUACCCAAUGCCCCUGCAGAUUCUGUGUGUAUUACAGAAGUCACAGGAAGAAAAAAAGCAGAACAAAACUGGUUGCGGGGUAAGGACCAUGUUGACAUUAACCCCCUUGCUAAUGCUAUAAAGGCACCACUGGAGCGCAGCACGCUCAACAGCCAUGAAAACUUGUUGAGAUGCAUGCACAGCUCCUCUGUGUACAAAUGCCAGAUUUCAUCCAUCUUAGCUUGUGCCCAUGCGGGCAAGGAGCAGACUCUCUUCCUCAAAACGCUGUCAAGAGAGGGAAAGAGGCAGCAAGUGCAUCAGUGUAGCUGGUGGAAAUCCAGAUCUGUUGUGUUACAGAUCAGAGCUGGGCGGGAUGUGGUUUGCUCCAUUGAGAGAGCAUUUCAUGGCAGUGCAGGCAGCUGGGUUAGCCCCAUCCGCACCUCUGUCCCCAUAUCCAUGCCAGCCCUGGGGGCAGAAGAGGGUGGCAGUGGCAGCGCAUGGCCCCGCAGCACAUCUGUGGCCUGGCAGUGUGUGCUGCAUGCCUGGCCCUCCGGAAGACAGGAAGUCGGCAGAGACAGGCAGCUGAGGGACAGGCAGGAGACAGGAACAAGGUCAGCACAAAUGCAGGAACCCCGGCCUCGACAGCAGACAAAGGGAGAAAGCACCUGCCAGAAAACAGUAGAUGGGCUUUCCAGUUCUCCUCCUUUGAAAAGCCCAGAAGGCAGCUGGCAGAAAACCACGCAUACAGGGAUUUUACAGAAAACAUUGUUUUCAAUUAAUGGAAAAAUUUUCAUGAAAACUGUUUACUUUCUUUGGAAAAGUCUGGCCUUUGGUCAAAAGUGAAUAAAUAACUAAGAUGGAAUGGAUAGCUUCUCCUUUCUCUACAAGCUGAGAAAAUCUCCCUGCGGUCGGGCUGGAGCCGAGCAUCUCUGCGAUGCUCCAGCAGGGAGGCAGCUGUGGGGCAGCAUUGGGUGCAGCCCUGGUAGGAGAUCGCAGAGGAGAAAGCCACCAGAAGGGUCCCUGGGCCACCAGCGUGGCUCUGGGUGACUUUAGGAAAAGGAGCCAGCUCUGGCGCAGCAUGGUAGUUUUUUCCGACAAUUCAAAAUAAUCUCUGGAGAAGGGGAAAAAUUGCCAAAGUAUCUAUGGAAAAUAAUAAUGAAUCCCUCUUCUCUCUGUUUUGCUUUGUGUUAGGCCAAACAUUUAUGUCACUUGGACAUAAUUACAGCAAGAGCAAUGACAUGUCCUCUGCCUGCCUUGUCCAGAGUGUUCACCUGAGGGCCAGAGCCCACUGAGGACUCCACCUCCCAGAAACUCAGUCCCCCAACACUUCUAUCCUUUCAGGCACUUUUAAUAGCGAUCAACUGAUAUCCUAAUCAUAAAACAAUAAGCCAGCCUGGAAACAGACACGGUCCAAACACCACAGGAGACCAAGAUCUGCACACUGUGACACAAUGAGAGGAGGUUUUGCCCUGAUUUCGGCACUGUUAGCAUUCACAAUGAGUGCAGCCUCAGCACACCCCUCCCAGAGCAUGGGCCAAGUCACAGCCAAAGCCCGGCUGAUGGCAGCGACCCACCAUCACAUGCAGGAGCCAUCCCUGGUCUCUGAGUUGUGGGCAGGGGACAAAGGAUGCUGAGGGAGCUGCAAGGACAAGAGGUGUCUGAAUCUCCCAGGGGUACCUGCAGGCAGAGCCAGCAUUCUGUGGAGCAAAGGCAAAGAGCUGGUACACGUGGUGACUUGCAGUGAUCAUGCAAAUCUCUGUCAGUCUGGGAGCAUUUCAAGGAUGGGCUGUGCGGAGAUUUUGGCCACACCUUGUGUGCAUGGCAGAGCACAUCUGUGUAUUUCUGUAAAACAGAUUUGACUCUCUUUUUAGAGAAAAGUGUAUGUUUGGAGACCUCAGACUGCUUUUGUUCCCUUUCUGAACAAACCGUUUUGGAUUUUCAGCUCAAAAUGACUUUUCAUAUUUGAAAUCCCCGUAGGAAUAUCAUGUCACCGUAUUUUUAUAAUUGAAAAAGUAUGAUGUGCUGCACAAAGUCCCAGCAGAAAUGUUCUGUUUCAGCCUCAAAUGUUUUAUCUUUCACUUCUUUAUUUUCAGACUUUUACAAAGAGAUCAAUCUCUAUAGCUCCAAACACAAACUGCACAUUUUAAAUGCUGAAACUCAUCUUUCUCUCAUCCUGCUCCAUCCCCCUAGCAUCAGGCUGCUGGCAUCAAUGCCUGCAAGGUUUGCCUGAAGAGCAGGCUCUCGCUGUCCUAGCAGCACGCUGGCCACAUUGGAGCAACGUUGGAGUUUGGGGUAACAAGCACGAAGCAGGAUCCACCAGAAAACAAAAUCUGUUCAUUUCAUACAAAUUUUGGAAAUGCCUCAGUUUCUCCCAGCUAUUCCUUGAAAAGAACAAAAAGAAGGGCGGAGGUAGAGCUGGGGGCUACAGAGUAAACAGUUUGGAAGCAAGCACGGUUGGCUGGUGAGCACGCUGUGACUCACGGAGGGGAAGGCUUUUUUUAAUCCUCGGAGCCAUGCAGCAAGGACAGCCGUGCGGUCAUCUUCCUGUGCCAAACAAAGGCGCAGCCCGCGGGUGCAGCCCCAACCCAGGGACAAUGGGACGCGAACUGUCGCCCUGGCCCACAGCACCCAGUGGUCCCACAGCCGGGAGGCUGCUGUAACACUGGGGCUGGGCCAGUCAAGCCUUGUCCCCUCUCAGCGGCUCUGAGAGAUGCAGAUCUCAGAGCCUGUUUGGGGAAAAUACCUUAUCUCAGCCCAUUAUUGCCUCUGCUUAAUAUAAACAGUGUUCCACUCUGUGCAUUGAAAGUUUUCUUAAACCAAGGAAACCUGAAAUAAAUACCUCAUUGUCUCGAGGAUUUUAUCA
rnacentral:lncRNA from 1 species